UGUGGUCCGCACGGGCAGUUCUAUGAUUGGAGUAAAGAGAUUUCGGAGUAAUCUUGUGUGAGGCUGAUGUUCUACGUCUGAGGUGAUUUCCGACAGGAGAACUAAACAGUCAGGCUGUGUGUCAGAGCAGUGCAGCUGAGCAGCAGAAGCUGGUAUUUUCUCUCUCACUGGAAAUCCCUAAAAUAGAGAAGAAGGCAGAACACUCCAGUCUCACAAGCUGUAGGGGCAAACCUGGCUGGGUAACAGUGUGACUUUGACGAAGUUUCUUGACUUGUCUAUGGCUCGAUUUCUCCUUUUAACAUGUGUCGGAUAGGAGUUCUUCCUGCAUGGUUUGUCCCAGGUUUACAUGAGACGUGCAGGUGAAGCGUGGAGCCCAGAGCCUGGCACAUACUGCGGGCCCUUUCAGGGUGCGGAUGGAGCAUGACGAGUCAAGGUUCUCCAACUGAGGAACAUGAAAUUGGUUCCAGUGUUUAUUUUUACAAACAGUGCUGCAGUGGACGUGUGUAUAUCUGUAUUUAUACAUCUCCAUCACCUCCUGUAGGUCUGCUUGGUAAUGUGAAAGAGACGUUCGUCCAGUGCCUGAAAUACCCUUCAUAGUGUGUUCCCAUUACAAGGGCUUGGGAAUAGUCACCUGAAGGGAUAGACGUGCUCAAAGCAGGCAAUGAAAUCAUCCACUGAAGCAUGUGUGGUCCACGGUGGAGCUGGUGUUUGAAUCUUCCGCUGCCUUUCCUCAGGCUGUGCCUUUAUUGCUUCCGCUCACACCUGGAAUAGGAUUUGUGUGGAAAUGUGAUUGGAGUAGAAGGCAUCAGGGAGGGAGCCUGAGCUGAGACCACAUCUUGAAAACACAGAAUUGAGGGAGCAGGUGGAAGAAAGAAAGUCAGUAGGCUUGGAGGAUGAUGAUAACCCAAAGAAGAUUAAGGUGCUGGUGGAGGAGGUGCGUUGGCAAAGGAGCUGGAUGACCUGUCCUGACCCACGACCCUGAACCUCAGCCAGAUUGCAGCCUCUCAGAACCAGUGCUUGGACUCCAUGUUGGCUCCAAGCCCUCAACACUGCCAAAGUCUCCAGAGGAAACAGCUGAUGUCACAGCUACUGACUGUGUCCUGGCCAGCUGCAGAAAU